GUAGCCAUCAGUAAUAGGAGGGAUUCCUGCAAUUCCCUGAAAAUAGUCUAUCAUAAUCUGUGAGUGCAAGCCAAGCUUUCCUCCAUAUAUAACCUGUCCCCCUCGUUUCAUGAGAAGUAGCUCAUCAAAUGCUUCAAAAAUGUCAAUACUUGGCUGAUGAAUGGUGCAAACCACUGUUCUUCCAGUAUCAACGGUAUUACGAACAGUUCGCAUCACAAUUGCUGCUGCUCGUGCGUCAAGUCCGGAGGUUGGUUCAUCCAUAAAAAUAAUGGAAGGAUUUGCAACAAGCUCAACUGCAA
rnacentral:misc_RNA from 1 species